rnacentral:rRNA from 1 species
AACGAACGCUGGCGGCAUGCCUAACACAUGCAAGUCGAACGAGACCUUCGGGUCUAGUGGCGCACGGGUGCGUAACGCGUGGGAACCUGCCCUUAGGUUCGGAAUAACUCCCCGAAAGGGGUGCUAAUACCGGAUAAUGUCUUCGGACCAAAGAUUUAUCGCCUUUGGAUGGGCCCGCGUAGGAUUAGCUAGUUGGUAGGGUAAAAGCCUACCAAGGCGACGAUCCAUAGCUGGUCUGAGAGGAUGAUCAGCCACACUGGGACUGAGACACGGCCCAGACUCCUACGGGAGGAAGCAGUGGGGAAUAUUGGACAAUGGGCGAAAGCCUGAUCCAGCAAUGCCGCGUGAGUGAUGAAGGCCUUAGGGUUGUAAAGCUCUUUUACCCGGGAUGAUAAUGACAGUACCGGGAGAAUAAGCUCCGGCUAACUCCGUG